rnacentral:tRNA from 2 species
GCCCGAGUGGCGGAACUGGUAGACGCGCUGGAUUCAAAAUCCUGUGUCAGCAAUGACGUGCCGGUUCGAUUCCGGCCUCGGGUA